rnacentral:lncRNA from 1 species
CUGUGUAUACAAGUUGUUGUACGUGAACUCUACACAAUACAUUCACACCAUACACAUACACAUCCUAGAUCUACAACCUAUAUAUAUACCACCGUAUUUUUGGAGAUCACCGAAGCUGCACCGAGCCUCCUAGAGGACGGGCACGUCAUAGUUCCAUUAUGACAUCACGUAAAUGGUCUAGAUCCUGAAAUAAACCUAGGGGAAAACCCCAUACAAAACCCACGCUGAGCUAGGCUCGAAUGCGGACGGUGAGCGCAACCACUCAACCACCA